GUGUGGUAUACAGUCUUUGAGAUAGGUAAUUGUUCUCUUAGGACUUUCAGAUAUAUUCAUGGACACGUAAUCUUUGUUGGUGUACCGAGCUUUCGUGGUUAAUUGGUUCUGUUGCCAAUUCAUGUGUUGCUCUAAAAUCUCAUGGGAUACUUCAGCAGCAUUGAUUUUGUAAAAUUGGAAAAUUAAAUGAGUGUUGGAACAAUACAAAAUUUGAUUAUAAUUUUACAAAAUCAAUUCUGCUGCUGAGGUAUCACAUGCCCACCCAAGACCCACCCAGAUUACUU
rnacentral:lncRNA from 1 species